AAGGCCACAAGCCAUUGAUCCAACUGCAUCUUCAACUCGUCUUAAUCUCUCCUAUAUAUGUACUCUUUUGUUUGUAAUGCAAAAGAAAAUAAAACAUAAUAUUUUCAGUUGAUAAACUACUAAUGAAAUAUUAUACGUCAACGAAAUUUAGUAUAUAAACUACAAAACGGCAAAAAUAGCUUUCUCGAAACCAACAAAGUUAAUUGGACAAACGACAAAAAAACUCACAAAAGCCAUAGAUAGAUUUUUCAUUAACCACGUAACCGACACUUUCUUCUUUUGGGAUAAAUCUAUUUUUUUUUAAAAGCCAUAGAUUCUUAGGACACCUUAUUUUAAUGAAUUAUCUAAAUUUAAUCGGACAUUACAAACGUAACAUAUACUUACAUAUGCGUUAUUUAAUGAAAACAUUGACAAAAGUAAAUCAUUUUAGGCAACGAAACUUUCUGGACCCCAGAAUGCUCUAUAUAUAUACCUAUUAUUGUAGUCUUCCAAUAUUAUUACAUCGCAAACUAAGCUAUAGUUAUUCAGACCUCAAAUUCUACAAACGAAAUCGGUUAAGAGCUAGGAGAAAAUGAGCAAUCUUCGCCUAACCAUUGCAGUGUUUUUGGCCGCUCUUGUCUUCACUGCGACUUAGCUUGUACUUAGUUUUUUCUUUUAAUCUCAAAUUGAAUUUCUUUAUUGUUUCUUAUACAAGAACUGUGUUUUGAAUAAACUUUUUUAUUGGCAGUUUCAAACUCUGUGGUGGAAGCCAAGGGGAAAGAGGCCACAAUCAAAUUUUCAUGCAAAAAGAAUUCGGACUGUUUUACAAACAUUGCUUGUUAUGCUUUGUACUGAUUACCGAUGUGAUAAAGGAUUAUGUAAAUGCCAUGGUUUUGGUGGAGAAAAGGAAAAUCCCACAGCUGCGCCAUUAACUGCUUAAUUUCUCCAUUUCUUUUUUAAAUUUAUCUUUUGUUUUCUUGUAAUGCAAAUGGAUAAUUAAAAAGAUUUCAGAUCAAAUUAUAUCCUAUUAAUUAUUUUAAAUCAUUAUAUUUUAUCUCAUCUCUGCUUGAUCCUUUUACAUAAAAAUAUAAUAAUCACAUCAUCCAUAUUUUUUUUCUGCAUUUGUACGUGUUAAAAACUGCCACUAGUGAUUAAAUCCGGAAGUUAAUUUCAGGCAAAGUUAAUUUAGUUUUUUCCACCAAUUUUUUAAUUAUUAAAUUGUGUUUGGUUAUAUGAAUAAUACUAGGAAAAAGUAUGAGAUAUUUUUGCCCUUAAUAAGUGUCUUUUUUAAAAAAACAGCUUAUUAAUUAAUGACAUUUAAUGUAAAUCUUAACACGUCCAUAACUAUUUACUUAAAAAUGUUCCUCAAUAAGUAGUAUUAGAUAUUAGCAGUCAACUUUUCACAAAAAAAAAAAAAAAAAAAGAUAUUAUUAGUCAACAAAAUAAAAGAUUUGUUUAGUCAAAAACAAAACUCCAUAUUAUUAGUCAACAAAAAUUAUGAUAUUUUCAUUUAUGUUUACUAUUAAUGUAUACAGAUUUAUAGUUCCAAACAUUAAAAAACAGAUAAAAACCACUCUCUACUUAACCAUCAUGCCCCUAUAUAUAUAUGUUUUGUUCUGUCUUUUGUGUAUACUAUACACUAAUUUCAUUACAAACCAAACUAAAAUAAUAUACAUCGUUCAUUUCAUAUUCAACAGAAGGAAUCGGUUUUAAAACUCAAAGAGAAAAAUGAACAACCUUCGCGUAAUUAUGUCAGUGUUAUUGGCCGUUCUUGUCUUCACAGCGACUGGUAAUUAGUUUCUUUACCUUUAACGCAAUGAUCGGCCGCUCUAAACAAUUAACAGUGUUUUAAUUGAAUUGUUCUCUUUCUUCUUCUCGCAGUUUCAGAGUCUGCAGAGGAAAUGGGGAAGGGUGAGGUCACAAUCUCACUUAGAUGCAAAACGAAAACAGAAUGCUUAAAGAACAUUGCCUGUGAAGCUUGUGUCGAUUGUCGAUGCGAUAAAGGAAUUUGUAAAUGCCAUGGUUUCACAGCAGAAACCAACAAUCCAACCGUUUAACUCAUAUUUCUCCUAAAUGUUUUCUUUCUUUUUUAAUAUAAAAUGUAAAAGAAAAUAAAUCGCAAAGUUCAAUUAAUACACCAAUGAAAACUAUUUAUCAUUAUCAAUCAUUUGUUAUAUGAUUAUAUAUGGAAUGACGACGUGUGUUAAGAUUGAGAUCUCAAAUUCCACCCACAAAAACUAUGGAAACAGAAAAAAAUUAAAAGCACACGAACCAAUGUGAGAUUUACGUCAUCUUUUCGUCUUUGCAUAAUAAUGUGAAGGAGAGAAAGAGAAUUGCAAUGGCCAUUAGCUUGUAAACUGGAUGAGAAGAAGCCAUUUUGUUUCUUUGUUUUGAUUUAGUGUGCAUUUAGUAAGGUUAUAGGGUUUCUUUAUAUAGAAGGAGUAGAUUGCAACAAAAGCAUCCUCAGUGAGUGGCGUAGACUUGGAAUUUCC
rnacentral:lncRNA from 1 species